rnacentral:rRNA from 1 species
AGCAGUAGCCGCGGGAAUACGGAGGGUGCAAGCGUUAAUCGGAAUUACUGGGCGUAAAGCGCACGCAGGCGGUCUGACAAGUCAGAUGUGAAAUCCCCGGGCUUAACCUGGGAACUGCAUUUGAAACUGUCAGGCUGGAGUCUUGUAGAGGGGGGUAGAAUUCCAGGUGUAGCGGUGAAAUGCGUAGAGAUCUGGAGGAAUACCGGUGGCGAAGGCGGCCCCCUGGACAAAGACUGACGCUCAGGUGCGAAAGCGUGGGGAGCAAACAGGAUUAGAGACCCCUGUAGUCCCUGUCUCUUAUAA